UGAAUACGAGACGCUAAGGCGUCGAAGUAGUGUAUGUCAUACUUCCAAGAAAAGCUUGCACUGUCAUAGAUAAAAAACGCCUGUACCAUAACCGACACAGGUGGGUAGGUAGAGUAUACUAAGGGGCGCGAGAUAACUCUCUCUAAGGAACUCGGCAAAAUAACUCCGUAACUUCGGGAGAAGGAGUGCCUUAUUCGUAAGGUUGCAAUAACAAGAUCCAAGCAACUGUUUAUCAAAAACACAGGUCUCCGCUAAGUCGUAAGACGAUGUAUGGGGGCUGACGCCUGCCCAGUGCCAGAAGGUUAAAGAAGUUGGUUAGCAAUUGCGAAGCUGAUAACUGAAGCCCUGGUGAACGGCGGCCGUAACCAUAACGGUCCUAAGGUAGCGAAAUUCCUUGUCGGGUAAGUUCCGACCCGCGCGAAAGGUGUAAUGAUUUGGAUACUGUCUCGGAGAGGGGCUCGGUGAAAUAGACUUGUCUGUGAAGAUGCGGACUACCUGCACCAGGACAGAAAGACCCUAUGAAGCUUUACUGUAACUUGAAAUUGAAAUUGGACUUUAUUCGCGCAGUAUAGGUGGGAGGCGUUGAUUAUAAUCUUGUGGGAUUAUUGGAGCCAUCAGUGAGAUACCACUCUUGUAAUGUUAGAUUUCUAACUUUGAAUCAUUAUCUGGUCAAAGAACAGUUUCAGGCGGGCAGUUUGACUGGGGCGGUCGCCUCCUAAACGGUAACGGAGGCGUACAAAGGUUUCCUCUGAACGGUUAGAAAUCGUAUCUAGAGUGUAAAGGCAUAAGGAAGCUUGACUGUGAGACCUACAAGUCGAGCAGGGACGAAAGUCGGUCUUAGCGAUCUGACGGUACUGAGUGGAAAGGCCGUCACUCAACGGAUAAAAGUUACUCUAGGAUAACAGGCUGAUCUCCCCCAAGAGUUCACAUCGACGGGGAGGUUUGGCACCUCGAUGUCGGCUCAUCGCAUCCUGGGGCGGUAGUACGUCCCAAGGGUCGGGCUGUUCGCCCAUGAAAGCGGUACGCGAGCUGGGUUCAGAACGUCGUGAGACAGUUCGGUCCAUAUCCGGUGUAGGCGUUAGAAUAUUGAGAGGAGCCUUCUUUAGUACGAGAGGACCGAGAAGGACAUACCUCUGGUGUACCAGUUAUCGUGCCAACGGUAAACGCUGGGUAGCUAUGUAUGGAGUGGAUAACCGCUGAAAGCAUCUAAGUGGGAAGCCCACCUCAAGAUAAGUAUUCUC
rnacentral:rRNA from 1 species